rnacentral:rRNA from 1 species
GUCUACGGCCAUGCCAUUCAGAACAAGCCCGAUCCCUUCUGAUCUCAGAAGCUAAGCAGAGUCGGGCCUGGUUAGUACUUGGAUGGGAGACCACCUAGGAAGACCAGGUGCUGUAGGCA